UGGGGAAUUUUGGACAAUGGGCGCAAGCCUGAUCCAGCCAUGCCGCGUGCGGGAAGAAGGCCUUCGGGUUGUAAACCGCUUUUGUCAGGGAAGAAAUCUUCUGAGUUAAUACCUCGGGAGGAUGACGGUACCUGAAGAAUAAGCACCGGCUAACUACGUGCCAGCAGCCGCGGUAAUACGUAGGGUGCAAGCGUUAAUCGGAAUUACUGGGCGUAAAGCGUGCGCAGGCGGUUUUGUAAGACAGAGGUGAAAUCCCCGGGCUCAACCUGGGAACUGCCUUUGUGACUGCAAGGCUUGAGUGCGGCAGAGGGGGAUGGAAUUCCGCGUGUAGCAGUGAAAUGCGUAGAUAUGCGGAGGAACACCGAUGGCGAAGGCAAUCCCCUGGGCCUGCACUGACGCCCAUGCACGAAAGCGUGGGGAGCAAAGCAGGAAUUAGAUACCCUGGUAGUCCACGCCCUAAACGAUGUCAACAUGGUUGUUGGAAGGUUCCUUCUCAGUAACGUAGCUAACGCGUGAAGUUGACCGCCUGGGGAGUACGG
rnacentral:rRNA from 1 species